rnacentral:rRNA from 1 species
AAGCAAUAAGUGAUCCACCUGGGGAGUACGGCGGCAACGCUGAAACUCAAAGGAAUUGACGGGGGCCCGCACAAGCGGAGGAACAUGUGGUUUAAUUCGAUGAUACGCGAGGAACCUUACCUGGGCUUGAAAGGGGAUUGACCUCCCGGGAAACCGGGAUUCUCUUCGGAGCAAUCUCCUAGGUGCUGCAUGGUUGUCGUCAGCUCGUGCCGUGAGGUGUCGGGUUAAGUCCCAUAACGAGCGCAACCCCUAUUGUUAGUUGCCAUCAGGUAAUGCUGGGCACUCUAGCGAAACUGCCUACGCAAGUAGUGAGGAAGGUGGGGAUGACGUCAAGUCAGCACGGCCCUUACGCCCAGGGCUACACACGUGCUACAAUGGUCGGUACAGAGGGCAGCUACCAGGUGACUGGAUGCAAAUCUCUAAAACCGAUCUCA